UACGGAGGGGGCUAGCGUUGUUCGGAAUUACUGGGCGUAAAGCGCACGUAGGCGGCUUCUUAAGUCGGUGGUGAAAUCCUGGAGCUCAACUCCAGAACUGCCUUCGAUACUGGGAAGCUUGAGUCCGGGAGAGGUGAGUGGAACUGCGAGUGUAGAGGUGAAAUUCGUAGAUAUUCGCAAGAACACCAGUGGCGAAGGCGGCUCACUGGCCCGGUACUGACGCUGAGGUGCGAAA
rnacentral:rRNA from 1 species